rnacentral:tRNA from 1 species
GUGGUUUUAAUACCGCGUAAGUUGGUAGAGCCCUGGAUUGUGAUUCCAGUUGUCGUGGGUUCGAAUCCCAUUAGCCACCCCA